rnacentral:miRNA from 1 species
UACUCUGGGAGCUGAGGGCA